UGUAACCCGAAGUAUUAAGCAGCUAUAUAGAUUAAUUAUAUUUUGAUUCAAAGACCCUAACAUGAAACUCGUCAACUUUCUAUUUGAUGAGACCUUAGACUAUAUAUAAGGCUAUGUUUAUCCAUAAUCAAUUGGUUUAAGGUUGUAGCUAAAAGACUAAAAAAAAAAAAGAUAAAAUGAAAAUAAAUGAAUACCCAGUCAUCUUAAAAAUUCACAGACCAACUCGUAGAUCACGCUAAAAAGUGGCACACCAAUUUUAAUAAGUUUAACUCAUCAUGCCACAUGAAUAAAUGGAGUUCUAAAUAAAAUAGAUAUAAAUAUUUUAGGUUGAAAUGAGUUAUUGAUAAAAC
rnacentral:lncRNA from 1 species